ensembl:lncRNA
CCCUGGCACCCUGUGUUCCUCUCCUUAGACCCGGGCCUGUGCCAUCUGCCUCUGUCACUGCCACCGCUGGGCACUGGGAGUCAGUGUGCAUGAGGCAGUCCUCUUCUUCUGCAAGAAAUCAACACACGCUGUGGCUGCUGCAGCUUUCAGCCGAGAUCAGCUGGCCAGAAGCAAGCUAUGAUUUAAUCUCUGCUCAGAUGAUCAUCAAAGCUGAGAGUCAGCCACCAUUACUCUGGAAGAUGCAUCAGCACAAGAUGAUUUUGCAUGUAGGACAUUGUCAUUUUGAGCAAAGGCAAACAUAUUCCCGGAAAGAGCAAGAAGAAAUUACAACAAUGAGAAGGCAUGUGGUUGAACGUCCCACCUCUAGAGUGACCACUUCCUGUUCCACUUCAUCUCGGACGGCAGCAUGGAGGUAUUUAGUCGUCCGAGACAAGGGCUGUCUGUUUUCCUGCGGUUUCUUCACCCGAUUCCCCUCCACUGCACACCAGAUGUAA